UACGUAGGGUGCGAGCGUUAAUCGGAAUUACUGGGCGUAAAGCGUGCGCAGGCGGCGCGUUAAGACAGGUGUGAAAGCCCCGAGCUUAACUUGGGAAUUGCGCUUGUGACUGGCGUGCUGGAGUGUGGCAGAGGGAGGUGGAAUUCCACGUGUAGCAGUGAAAUGCGUAGAUAUCUGGAGGAACACCGGUGGCGAAGGCGGCAUCCUGGACCGGCAUUGACGCUGAGGCGCGAAAGCUAGGGGAGCAAACGGG
rnacentral:rRNA from 1 species